GCCCUUAGAGUUUGAUCCUGGCUCAGGACGAACGCUGGCGGCGUGCCUAACACAUGCAAGUCGAGCGAGAAAGCCAGUCCUUCGGGGCUGGUGAGUAGAGCGGCGAACGGGUGAGUAACGCGUGGAUAACCUACCCUUAAGACGGGGAUAACCCCGGGAAACUGGGGCUAAUACCCGAUAAGCUCACAGUCUUUAAAGGGUUGUGAGCAAAGGCGGCAUAUGUGCUGUCGUUUAAGGAUGGGUCCGCGUACCAUUAGCCAGCUGGUGGGGUAAGGGCCUACCAGGGCGACAAUGGUUAGCUGGUCUUAGAGGACGGCCAGCCACACUGGGACUGAGACACGGCCCAGACUCCUACGGGAGGCAGCAGUGGGGGAUCUUGCACAAUGGGCGCAAGUCUGAUGCAGCGACGCCGCGUGGGUGAAGAAGGCCUUCGGGUCGUAAAGCCCUGUUGUGGGGGAAGAAAGACCUCGGUGCGAACAGUGCCGGGGUUUGACGGUACCCCAGAUAGAAAGCCCCGGCUAACUACGUGCCAGCAGCCGCGGUAACACGUAGGGGGCAAGCGUUGUCCGGAAUUAUUGGGCGUAAAGGGCACGCAGGCGGUCGUGUAUGUCA
rnacentral:rRNA from 1 species